GCUCUUGUAGCUCAGUAGGCAGAGCACAUCGUUGGUAACGAUGAGGUCAGCGGUCCGAUUCCGCUCGAGAGCU
rfam:Treponema berlinense strain ATCC BAA-909 genome assembly, contig: EI67DRAFT_scaffold00009.9